GAGAUUCUCAAGUCAAAGCUACCACUAUUUGGGCUGUCAUACGCGACUCAACUGUAAGUUGUUAUAGGCACAACCUAGCUACAGAUACCUCGUUUCUCCUUCUUCCUUUGGUUGACUUUCCAUAACAAACUUGUCAUAUGGCCUCUUGAUAUCUAUUGCCUAUGCAACUAAGCCAAUUAAUCAUUUGAUCAGCUCUUUUUUUAAUAUGAGUUUUUAAGCAUAUAUUGAGAGUUGUUUUUGCUCACCAUGGUUGGUUUGAAAUACCUUUUAGCUAGGAUCAACUUAUACAUCAUGUUCAGUUCAAUUACAUGACUUUUAACAUCAUGGUUCAACAUAUACAUCAUGGUUGAUUUAAAAUACCUUUUAGCUAGGAUUAAUUUGAUCAUGUUCUUGCUCAUCACCCCUUUGAUCCUAUCGUCUCUAUUUCUGGGAUCUCGUUUAAUGCCAUUAUUAGUGAGAUUAUAAGCAAAUGUACUUGGUGUCCUCUCUCGAACUAUGCUAGCAUUCUUCUCAUGAAGCAGAAGUUCCUUUUAAUCCCCCUCCCUCAAACAUACUUGAUCAAGUGCUAUGGGUAGGAGAUUCUCAAGUCAAAGCUUCCACUAUAUAUGCUGUCAUACGCAGCAGUACUGGCUCAACUGCAUGUUGGUAUAAAUUGGUAUGGCACAACUUGCAGAUACCUCGCUUCUCCUUCUUCCUUUGGUUGACUUUCCAUUAUAAACAGGUCAUAUGGCCUCUUGAUAUCUGUUGCCUAUGCAAUUAAACUAAUUAAUCAUUUGAUCAUCUCUUUUUUUAAUACUAGUUUUCUAAGCAUAUAUUGAGAGUUGUUUUUGCUCACCAUGGUUGGUUUGGGAUACGUUCACUCGUAUGGAUUACAUGACUUUGCGCAUCAUAAGAUAUAGAACGAGCAAAAUCACAGAUCCCAUGAAAAUAAACCCUUUGCUAUCAAAACUAUUGCUCAAGAUUGUAUUAAUAUUAUCAAAUGUAAAUUGUUCCUUGUUAAGAAAUUGAGUAAAUUUGUAAAAAAACUUUCUUUUCUUAGGAUUUGACAGUUAUAGUCUUUUGACUAUAGAAACUGUAUCAUUGGUAUGCCCCAGAUCUUGUAUAUUUGUUUUCUUUCAAUAUACUCUCAAUUUAGUACGCACAAAAAAAAUCACUUGCAAGUCUAUGAAGCUAACAUUAUCUUUAACAUAUUUUUAAUGUGAUAAACGGAAAAAAAAAUGUAAAAUAACACAUGAAACUAAUUAAUUACACAAUUAACAUAAAUUUCAAAUUUUGCACGGUAAACAUUAAUUAAACAAAGUACACAACUAACAUUAAUUAAAAAUAAUUACACAAUUAAUUUAACAAACGAGUGAAACAAUUAACUUAGAUUAACCAAAUGACACGAAUAACAAAUUAUGCAAUAAUUCAAUUAAGAAAAAAUAAAACAAAUCAACAUCCCACUACUUCGUGAAUAUCAACAAACCAAGUACGUCGGCUGCAUUAUCCGUUCAACCAUCAUCGACGCCACCUCCACAUGCAGCAACUGCACCAAGCCCGGCCACUCCGACCAAAUUAAGUCAUGUAAACAUGUAAAUUCGCUCUGU
rnacentral:lncRNA from 1 species